rnacentral:rRNA from 1 species
CGGAACGGGUGAGUAACGCGUGAGGAACCUGCCUCAAAGAGGGGGGAAACAGUUGGAAACGACUGCUAAUACCGCAUAAGCCCACGGCUCGGCAUCGAGCAGAGGGGAAAGGAGCAAUCCGCUUUGAGAUGGCCUCGCGUCCGAUUAGCUAGUUGGUGAGGUAACGGCCCACCAAGGCGACGAUCGGUAGCCGGACUGGGAGGUUGAACGGCCACAUUGGGACUGAGACACGGCCCAG